rnacentral:rRNA from 1 species
UGCCAGACUCCUACGGGAGGCAGCAGUGGGGAAUAUUGCACAAUGGGCGAAAGCCUGAUGCAGCAACGCCGCGUGAACGAAGAAGGCUCUUGGGUCGUAAAGUUCUGUUCUGAGGGAAGAAGAAAGUGACGGUACCUCAGGAGAAAGCCCCGGCUAACUACGUGCCAGCAGCCGCGGUAAUACGUAGGGGGCAAGCGUUAUCCGGAUUUACUGGGUGUAAAGGGAGCGUAGACGGCAGUGCAAGUCUGGAGUGAAAGGCGGGGGCUCAACCCCCGGACUGCUCUGGAAACUGUACGGCUGGAGUGCAGGAGAGGUAAGUGGAAUUCCUAGUGUAGCGGUGAAAUGCGUAGAUAUUAGGAGGAACACCAGUGGCGAAGGCGGCUUACUGGACUGUAACUGACGUUGAGGCUCGAAAGCGUGGGGAGCAAACAGGAUUAGAUACCCGAGUAU